AGAUGUUGACUUUACUCCUUUCAAGCCAACGUCAGCUCCCUCCUGUGGAGUGGGGAACAGGCAGGAAAGUGAGAGGGUGGAAGAAUCGAGGAAGAUAACCCUCAUCCUUUCCAAACUGUGAGGGAAGAUAAAGAGGGAAUCUGAAAGGAGUCAGGCACCUAGGCAAAAAAAUUAUUGAUUCCUGGGGAUAAAAGGACCCCAAACAAAAGCCCCAGUGUUGGCUAUGGAACCAGGAUCACGAGGAGGAGGGAAGCAGAGGGUGGGAGCAUGGCUAGUUUUGGUGCCAGCUCUUCUUGUCUGAGGUAAAGCCUCAUCUCUAGCCAGCAGCAUCCCUAGGACUCAAAAGUCAAGUCAGGCUGCUGGUCUGGGGAGAUAGUCCAGAGGCGGCUUCUUGUCCCAUCUGAGCCCCCAAACCUCUGCUUUUAUGCAAGUCUCUUGAAGAAGCUGCCAGGGAGGACUUUCUAGACCCUUAUUCUACAUUCAUUGCUCCAACUUCUCUUCUCUUUUUUCUUCCUCAGGGAUUUUCUUAUGGGCAAAGAAGCCAAGCUGUAGAAGAAAAGAUAAGCGUCACUGCCAAAUGCCUAGACUGGGAACCUUGCCAGUAGCUCUCAGACUUAUCUGAGGUCUUCACUUUUGUUCUGUUUCCAAAAAUGGAAUUCAAAUUUAUUUUAUUUGGCUUAGAAUAAUUUAACCAACAUUUGUGGGGUACAGUGAAGGAGAUCUGGGCAUGACAUCCACAGCCUGGUUAGCUGCCCAGCACAAAUCCUGUUCUCUCUGCUAUAAUCAAGGAUCCCUCAACUCAUGGGCAUCAUGCUCCACACUCCCCACUAAAGCAGUGCUUACCUUCCACAGGCAGAAGACAAGGAGAGCAAGCAGGAGCAACCCUCCCAGGACACUGCCUAUGAGGAUCCACAGGGAGAUGAGGAUAGGCCGGGUCUGAACCACCUCCAAGAGGCUCUGCGUGGACAGAAGAGUAGUUUUCUACAUGCAUCCUAUAACCCAGCUAGCCUCACCCCACAUUAUAUCAAAGCCAGCCCCCAAAUAGAAUAAAUAACCUCCUGCUACUUAAAGGAAAGAAACUGAGGCAGGAAUGGCGGCAGUGGAACACUAGGAUCCUGCUGCCUGAUGGAGAUGCCUUCGUUCUGAAAAAGCCCACGGGUGGCCCUACCACAUACCCAUCAUCAUUAUUUUCACAGCUCUCAGACUCGGUCUCCAGCCCUACCUCACUCCAACGGGAGGCUUCAGUCAGCUGUAGGACACUGCCCUCUUCGGUUCCCAGCUCAAAGGUGCUGACCACCGUCAGGGACUUGAACUUGGCCUAUGGAACAAGUGGAUAGGAAGACAUUUAAAAUGAGCCAUUAUCAGGUGAUAUAGUUCUUUGGAAUCCCAACAGCAAAGUUGAGGCUGAGAGGCAUAAUGUUGAGGGCUCUCAAGACCAGAAGAAAAGGCUGAAGACCAAUGGGAAAAGAGAGGAAGGGUAAUAGAUGGAAAACCCCUGGUCACAUCUGCUGCUGCUGUUUGUUUUCCAAGGACAAUCAAUACAUCUGGUGCUUUACCUGAAAUGCAUUCUACUCCUCUUUCCUUUGGCUGACCUCUACCCCUCCUUUAGAUUGAAGUUUAGAUGUCAUCCCCUCUGGGAUUUAGGGAAAUCAUUCCUCCUAACCCCCACCAACACUGGUGUUUACUUCUGUUUUUCACUCCUGAACUAUAAGAUCCUCUAGGUUAAAGGCUGUGCCUUACUAACCUUUGUGUCCU
rnacentral:lncRNA from 1 species